UUAGCAUCGGCUGGCUCAGCGCCCUCGCGUCCGAACCCCGACGGCUUCCCGCUCACUGGGCGUUCUGAGGCACUUGCCAGUCCUCUCCAGGCACGCUGGUGAGAUAAUUUCAAGAAUUAUCAGGACUUCAAACUAAGGAGUGUAAAGCAGGGAGGGCAAAGUGAAGAAGAAACAGGUGCUGUUAUUCUACGUAAUAACUCAGAAGACCACCACAAGGAUCAUGCCGAGAUCUCCUGACCCAGCUUCAAUGAUUAAGAUUCCCCCAAAGAAAGGAGAAUGCAUGUUGGCCCCAAUCCUGAUU